rnacentral:rRNA from 1 species
UAAGGUGAAACCGCGAAAGGCUCAUUAAAUCAGUUAUGGUUCCUUAGAUCGUACCCACAUUUACUUGGAUAACUGUGGUAAUUCUAGAGCUAAUACAUGCAAACAGAGCUCCGACCGGAGACGGAAGGAGCGCUUUUAUUAGAUCAAAACCAAUCGGCGGCGUGUUAACGCGCGUCGUCGUACAAGUUGGUGAUUCUGAAUAACUUUUUGCUGAUCGCACGGUCUCGCACCGGCGACGCAUCUUUCAAAUGUCUGCCUUAUCAACUGUCGAUGGUAGGUUCUGCGCCUACCAUGGUUGUAACGGGUAACGGGGAAUCAGGGUUCGAUUCCGGAGAGGGAGCCUGAGAAACGGCUACCACAUCCAAGGAAGGCAGCAGGCGCGCAAAUUACCCACUCCCGGCACGGGGAGGUAGUGACGAAAAAUAACGAUACGGGACUCAUCCGAGGCCCCGUAAUCGGAAUGAGUACACUCUAAACCCUUUAACGAGGAUCAAUUGGAGGGCAAGUCUGGUGCCAGCAGCCGCGGUAAUUCCAGCUCCAAUAGCGUAUAUUAAAGUUGUUGCGGUUAAAAAGCUCGUAGUCGAAUUUGUGUCCCGCGCCGCCGGUUCAUCGCUCGCGGUGUUUAACUGGCGUGUCCGCGGGACGUCCUGCCGGUGGGCUUAGCUCGCAAGGGCGGCCCAACUUCGAAUCCCGUCGCGGUGCUCUUCACUGAGUGUCGAGGCGGGCCGGCACGUUUACUUUGAACAAAUUAGAGUGCUUAAAGCAGGCUAAACUUCGCCUGAAUAUUCUGUGCAUGGAAUAAUGGAAUAGGACCUCGGUUCUAUUUUGUUGGUUUUCGGAACCCCGAGGUAAUGAUUAAUAGGAACGGAUGGGGGCAUUCGUAUUGCGACGCUAGAGGUGAAAUUCUUGGAUCGUCGCAAGACGGACAGAAGCGAAAGCAUUUGCCAAAAACGCUUUCAUUGAUCAAGAACGAAAGUUAGAGGUUCGAAGGCGAUCAGAUACCGCCCUAGUUCUAACCAUAAACGAUGCCAGCUAGCGAUCCGCCGACGUUCCUCCGAUGACUCGGCGGGCAGCUUCCGGGAAACCAAAGCUUUUGGGUUCCGGGGGAAGUAUGGUUGCAAAGCUGAAACUUAAAGGAAUUGACGGAAGGGCACCACCAGGAGUGGAGCCUGCGGCUUAAUUUGACUCAACACGGGAAACCUCACCAGGCCCGGACACCGGAAGGAUUGACAGAUUGAGAGCUCUUUCUUGAUUCGGUGGGUGGUGGUGCAUGGCCGUUCUUAGUUGGUGGAGCGAUUUGUCUGGUUAAUUCCGAUAACGAACGAGACUCUAGCCUGCUAAAUAGGCGUAUUUCCGACAUCUCAAAGGCCCGCCGGCCCGGCGCUCGCGUCGCGGCCGCGCGCGGUUUUUACUGUCGGCGUACAUAUAAUUCUUCUUAGAGGGACAGGCGGCUUCUAGCCGCACGAGAUUGAGCAAUAACAGGUCUGUGAUGCCCUUAGAUGUUCUGGGCCGCACGCGCGCUACACUGAAGGAAUCAGCGUGUCCUCCCUGGCCGAGAGGCCCGGGUAACCCGCUGAACCUCCUUCGUGCUAGGGAUUGGGGCUUGCAAUUGUUCCCCAUGAACGAGGAAUUCCCAGUAAGCGCGAGUCAUAAGCUCGCGUUGAUUACGUCCCUGCCCUUUGUAC